GCGCGUGUGUUAGUAGCCACUGUAAAUAGAAAACCAUAAUAGAAAGCAAGCACUUUGAAUAGCAGCCAUGCUGUAAUAGUGCCUUGAAAAAUUAGAUGCCUGACACCUCUGUUCUCUUGCUGAGAAUCGAACGUAAGGUCUAAUGCAAACUUUAUUUCAAAAUCUUUGGAUAAGGGAUAAGGAGUAGUCUUUAUGUACCACUGUUAGGAACAUUCAUCAAACAGCAAGCCGUGGAAACAAAAAUCACAGCAAGAGUUGUCUUUUUUUUUUUUUCCAAACAGAAAUGAUAACGUCCAUCAUUUUUGUUGUUAGCAAUUAUAAGUUGGCUGCUUACUGACAGUUUGAAUGGAACACGAAACUGGUGGUUAUGCUGUUCACAGUCUGUCAAGAAAUAGGUUUCUUAGAAGCGAUCUUCCUCCUAUCCCUGUUAUCCCAGAAAUGAACCAAGUAUUAAACAAUCUAGGGAGGAACCAAGCUAACUCUGAUCUUCCGGACUGAGCUUGCUAAGAUGUAGGAUCUGUGCAGCAAGGGAUAUCACCUUGGGCUUCACUGAGUUGAGCUGCCAUUGAAGGCUUGCAGAAUGGUUGAGAUCCCUAACUGCUAUGGGUUUCAACAGGAAUAAAAGAUGCUAGCGCCUCGGAAAACCA
rnacentral:lncRNA from 1 species